rnacentral:lncRNA from 1 species
UUGAAUCCAAAACAGUUUCCGAAAUCACCGUAUUAUUAACUAAUAGAGCUUGCCUCCACCAUCCAACUUUGCUGACUUGACAAUCACUUAAUCGAUGGCCAUGAAGAUCAGGAUCCAAGUUACCUGAGAUAAGAAGCGGAAUGGCCACAUCUUUGCCCUCUAUUGGAAGACAAGCAUUGGUCUCACCUCUCUCUAAGAACUUUGUUGUUGCAUCCAUACAACUAAUAUGCUCCUUUGCAUCUAGGGCCGUCACAACACCUUUUUUUUGCAAUGUAAACAAACUAAUUGGAGAAAACCGAGAAACUGAGGUGCUUGGAGCAGAAAACCUGGAUACAAGGAUGCAUUUGGA